rnacentral:rRNA from 1 species
AGAGUUUGAUCAUGGCUCAGAGUGAACGCUGGCGGUAGGCCUAACACAUGCAAGUCGAACGGCAGCACAGUAAGAGCUUGCUCUUAUGGGUGGCGAGUGGCGGACGGGUGAGGAAUACAUCGGAAUCUACUCUGUCGUGGGGGAUAGCGUAGGGAAACUUACGCUAAUACCGCAUACGACCUACGGGUGAAAGCAGGGGAUCUUCGGACCUUGCGCGAUUGAAUGAGCCGAUGUCGGAUUAGCUAGUUGGCGGGGUAAAGGCCCACCAAGGCGACGAUCCGUAGCUGGUCUGAGAGGAUGAUCAGCCACACUGGAACUGAGACACGGUCCAGACUCCUACGGGAGGCAGCAGUGGGGAAUAUUGGACAAUGGGCGCAAGCCUGAUCCAGCCAUACCGCGUGGGUGAAGAAGGCCUUCGGGUUGUAAAGCCCUUUUGUUGGGAAAGAAAUCCAGCUGGCUAAUACCCGGUUGGGAUGACGGUACCCAAAGAAUAAGCACCGGCAAACUUCGUGCCAGCAGCCGCGGUAAUACGAAGGGUGCAAGCGUUACUCGGAAUUACUGGGCGUAAAGCGUGCGUAGGUGGUCGUUUAAGUCCGUUGUGAAAGCCCUGGGCUCAACCUGGGAACUGCAGUGGAUACUGGGCGACUAGAGUGAGGUAGAGGGUAGCGGAAUUCCUGGUGUAGCAGUGAAAUGCGUAGAGAUCAGGAGGAACAUCCAUGGCGAANGCAGCUACCUGGACCAACACUGACACUGAGGCACGAAAGCGUGGGGAGCA